rnacentral:rRNA from 1 species
GUGAGGAAUAUUGGUCAAUGGGCGGGAGCCUGAACCAACCAAGUCGCGUGAAGGAAGAAGGAUCUAUGGUUCGUAAACUUCUUUUGCAGGGGAAUAAAGUGCAGGACGUGUCCUGUUUUGUAUGUACCCUGAGAAUAAGGAUCGGCUAACUCCGUGCCAGCAGCCGCGGUAAUACGGAGGAUCCGAGCGUUAUCCGGAUUUAUUGGGUUUAAAGGGUGCGUAGGUGGUUUGAUAAGUCAGCGGUGAAAGUUUGCAGCUUAACUGUAAAAAUGCCGUUGAAACUGUCGGACUUGAGUGUAAAUGAGGUAGGCGGAAUGCGUGGUGUAGCGGUGAAAUGCAUAGAUAUCACGCAGAACUCCGAUUGCGAAGGCAGCUUACUAAGCUACAACUGACACUGAAGCACGAAAGCGUGGGGAUCAAACAGGAUUAGAAACCCCGGUAGUCC